GGUUAAGCGACUAAGCGUACACGGUGGAUGCCCUGGCAGUCAGAGGCGAUGAAGGACGUGCUAAUCUGCGAAAAGCGCCGGCGAGGUGAUAUGAACCUUUGACCCGGCGAUGUCCGAAUGGGGAAACCCAGUGUGUUCCGACACACUAUCGUUAACUGAAUACAUAGGUUAACGAGGCGAACCGGGGGAACUGAAACAUCUAAGUACCCCGAGGAAAAGAAAUCAACCGAGAUUCCCCCAGUAGCGGCGAGCGAACGGGGAGCAGCCCAGAGUCUGAAUCAGCUUGUGUGUUAGUGGAAGCGUCUGGAAAGUCGCACGGUACAGGGUGACAGUCCCGUACACGAAAAUGCACAGGUUGUGAACUCGAAGAGUAGGGCGGGACACGUGGUAUCCUGUCUGAAUAUGGGGGGACCAUCCUCCAAGGCUAAAUACUCCUGACUGACCGAUAGUGAACCAGUACCGUGAGGGAAAGGCGAAAAGAACCCCGGCGAGGGGAGUGAAAUAGAACCUGAAACCGUGUACGUACAAGCAGUGGGAGCACCUUCGUGGUGUGACUGCGUACCUUUUGUAUAAUGGGUCAGCGACUUAUAUUCUGUAGCAAGGUUAACCGUAUAGGGGAGCCGAAGGGAAACCGAGUCUUAACUGGGCGUUAAGUUGCAGGGUAUAGACCCGAAACCCGGUGAUCUAGCCAUGGGCAGGUUGAAGGUUGGGUAACACUAACUGGAGGACCGAACCGACUAAUGUUGAAAAAUUAGCGGAUGACUUGUGGCUGGGGGUGAAAGGCCAAUCAAACCGGGAGAUAGCUGGUUCUCCCCGAAAGCUAUUUAGGUAGCGCCUCGUGAACUCAUCUUCGGGGGUAGAGCACUGUUUCGGCUAGGGGGCCAUCCCGGCUUACCAACCCGAUGCAAACUACGAAUACCGAAGAAUGUUAUCACGGGAGACACACGGCGGGUGCUAACGUCCGUCGUGAAGAGGGAAACAACCCAGACCGCCAGCUAAGGUCCCAAAGUCAUGGUUAAGUGGGAAACGAUGUGGGAAGGCACAGACAGCCAGGAUGUUGGCUUAGAAGCAGCCAUCAUUUAAAGAAAGCGUAAUAGCUCACUGGUCGAGUCGGCCUGCGCGGAAGAUGUAACGGGGCUAAACCAUGCACCGAAGCUGCGGCAGCGACACUAUGUGUUGUUGGGUAGGGGAGCGUUCUGUAAGCCGUUGAAGGUGUGCUGUGAGGCAUGCUGGAGGUAUCAGAAGUGCGAAUGCUGACAUAAGUAACGAUAAAGCGGGUGAAAAGCCCGCUCGCCGGAAGACCAAGGGUUCCUGUCCAACGUUAAUCGGGGCAGGGUGAGUCGACCCCUAAGGCGAGGCCGAAAGGCGUAGUCGAUGGGAAACAGGUUAAUAUUCCUGUACUUGGUGUUACUGCGAAGGGGGGACGGAGAAGGCUAUGUUAGCCGGGCGACGGUUGUCCCGGUUUAAGCAUGUAGGCGGAACGAUUAGGUAAAUCCGGUCGUUUUUAACGCUGAGGUGUGAUGACGAGGCACUACGGUGCUGAAGUAACAAAUGCCCUGCUUCCAGGAAAAGCCUCUAAGCAUCAGGUAACAUCAAAUCGUACCCCAAACCGACACAGGUGGUCAGGUAGAGAAUACCAAGGCGCUUGAGAGAACUCGGGUGAAGGAACUAGGCAAAAUGGUGCCGUAACUUCGGGAGAAGGCACGCUGAUAUGUAGGUGAAGCCCCUGCGGGUGGAGCUGAAAUCAGUCGAAGAUACCAGCUGGCUGCAACUGUUUAUUAAAAACACAGCACUGUGCAAACACGAAAGUGGACGUAUACGGUGUGACGCCUGCCCGGUGCCGGAAGGUUAAUUGAUGGGGUUAGCGGCAACGCGAAGCUCUUGAUCGAAGCCCCGGUAAACGGCGGCCGUAACUAUAACGGUCCUAAGGUAGCGAAAUUCCUUGUCGGGUAAGUUCCGACCUGCACGAAUGGCGUAAUGAUGGCCAGGCUGUCUCCACCCGAGACUCAGUGAAAUUGAACUCGCUGUGAAGAUGCAGUGUACCCGCGGCAAGACGGAAAGACCCCGUGAACCUUUACUAUAGCUUGACACUGAACACUGGUCCUUGAUGUGUAGGAUAGGUGGGAGGCUUUGAAGCGUGGACGCCAGUCUGCGUGGAGCCGUCCUUGAAAUACCACCCUUUAAUGGCUGGUGUUCUAACGUAGACCCGUAAUCCGGGUUGCGGACAGUGUCUGGUGGGUAGUUUGACUGGGGCGGUCUCCUCCCAAAGAGUAACGGAGGAGCACGAAGGUUAGCUAAUCCUGGUCGGACAUCAGGAGGUUAGUGCAAUGGCAUAAGCUAGCUUGACUGCGAGAGUGACGGCUCGAGCAGGUGCGAAAGCAGGUCAUAGUGAUCCGGUGGUUCUGAAUGGAAGGGCCAUCGCUCAACGGAUAAAAGGUACUCCGGGGAUAACAGGCUGAUACCGCCCAAGAGUUCAUAUCGACGGCGGUGUUUGGCACCUCGAUGUCGGCUCAUCACAUCCUGGGGCUGAAGUAGGUCCCAAGGGUAUGGCUGUUCGCCAUUUAAAGUGGUACGCGAGCUGGGUUUAGAACGUCGUGAGACAGUUCGGUCCCUAUCUGCCGUGGGCGCUGGAGAAUUGAGGGGGGCUGCUCCUAGUACGAGAGGACCGGAGUGGACGCAUCACUGGUGUUCGGGUUGUCAUGCCAAUGGCACUGCCCGGUAGCUAAAUGCGGAAAAGAUAAGUGCUGAAAGCAUCUAAGCACGAAACUUGCCCCGAGAUGAGUUCUCCCUGAGACUUUAAGUCUCCUGAAGGAACGUUGAAGACGACGACGUUGAUAGGUCGGGUGUGUAAGCGCAGCGAUGCGUUGAGCUAACCGAUACUAAUGAACCGUGAGGCUUAACCUU
rnacentral:rRNA from 1 species